rnacentral:miRNA from 1 species
UCUAUUUCAUUGUUCCACACA